UUGGAUGGGUUACUCUCUCGAGUGUUAUGCCCUCAUUGCGUGUGUGAUGAUACGUUUCGAUUCUAGCUCAAAUGGUAAGACACCUUUACUAGUUCAAGUCAUACAAUGUUCCUACAAGCACGGGGAAUGGAAUACAAUGACUUAAAUUUGAAAACAAAAUAAAAACAAAUAGGAAACAAAGUUGUAUCUAUAAAUCCUACUUUGACUCCUUAUCUCUACCUAAAAUCCAAGUACUGCUACAACUUCUGUUUCGUAGAUGGUUGUAGGCUAGCAUAAAUCGCAAAACAGAAACAAGUUGCUGAACUUUGCCGACAACUAAUCUUCAUGUAUACCACCUGAGGGUGUACAUCUAAAAUGUCCACCAAAAAAUUAUCAUUCCAGAUUAUCCAAAUGCCUCCAACAAAUUCAUUAGCUUCAACCUGAAAAGAAUUAGGACCAUAUUUUAUUAAUAACACAAUCGACCCUAACUCUACCUAUUAUGGAAUUGGGGAUGCCCAGCUUCUUGGCAAUUCCAAAAAAUUAUCUUCGUGUCCAUAAAAAAUAAAUGGAAAAAUAACCAACCCCAAUACAACAAACUUUAUCAAAAACUAACCUCAAUGUUGCUGCGCUUCCCAUCGUCCAUGCCAUCUUCAUCAAAUUGACCAUCAUCCUCCAUAGGAGUAGUUUCGGCCACCAUUUCCAAAUUAUCCACUAAACCUUCCAAAGUCGAUUUCAGUUCCACUAUUACUUGCUUGUUUCACUCAAUAUAAUAUUUGGAGGUUUUUUUGGUGAAGCAUUUCUUCUUCAGCUACAUACGUAUUCUUCUCAUUGUCACCCUUAUGCAAAUUUCUCACUCAAUAUAAUAUUUGGAGGUUUUUUUGGUGAAGCAUUUCUCCUUCAGCUACAUACGUAUUCUCCUCAUUGUCACCCUUAUGCAAAUUUCCAAACCGAAACACCCUGUUUUCCUUCCUUUUCGAAGACUCGGCCUUCUCAUUUCCCACAAAUCGAAUAGCCCUAUGCUUAUCCUUAUCUAACUUGGAACAUAUACGAGUUGUAAAAGUAAAGUAAAUUCUUCACCAGUUGAAGAUCUCAGGCCCAUUAACGCACCAUCAUCGAACGAAGCUUUUUC
rnacentral:lncRNA from 1 species